CCCGCACAAGCGGUGGAGCAUGUGGUUUAAUUCGACGCUACGCGAGGAACCUUACCUGGGCUUAAAUGGGAGUGACAGCUGUCGAAAGAUGGUUUUCUUCGGACACUCUUCAAGGUGCUGCAUGGUUGUCGUCAGCUCGUGCCGUGAGGUGUCCGGGUUAAGUCCCAUAACGAGCGCAACCCUUACCGUUAGUUACCAUCAGGUUAAGCUGGGGACUCUAGCGGGACUGCCACCGUAAGGUGAGAGAAGGUGGGGAUGACGUCAAAUCAGCACGGCCCUUAUGUCCAGGGCUACACACGUGUUACAAUGGCCAGUACAAAGGGCAGCUACCGGGUGACCGGAUGCUAAUCUCUAAAGCUGGUCUCAGUUCGGAUCGAAGUCUGCAACCCGACUUCGUGAAGCUGGAUUCGCUAGUAAUCGCGCAUCAGCCAUGGCGCGGUGAAUACGUUCCCGGGCCUU
rnacentral:rRNA from 1 species